rnacentral:rRNA from 2 species
CGCAUACGGUGGAUGCCUUGGCAGUCAGAGGCGAUGAAAGACGUGGUAGCCUGCGAUAAGCUUCGGGGAGUCGGCAAACAGACUUUGAUCCGGAGAUCUCUGAAUGGGGAAACCCACCUAGCAUAAGUUAGGUAUCUUGCACUGAAUACAUAGGUGUAAGAGGCGAACCAGGGGAACUGAAACAUCUAAGUACCCUGAGGAAAAGAAAUCAACCGAGAUUCCCUUAGUAGUGGCGAGCGAACGGGGAUUAGCCCUUA